UUCACCUGCAUCAAGUUCCUUAUCAGUCAUAGUCUGUUGCUUCUGAUGACAGAGCCAGGAUCGGUCCCAGCGAGCAGCCCCAACAGGGAUCAAGCCAGAGGAAACGAAUACAAAUAUCAUCGGGGACUGUCCAGUGAAAAGUUGCUCACAGAAGAAUGCCCUGCCCGUGGGUGCACAGCUUCUGGAAGCAGAAUCUGGAUCAGCCUUCUCGCCCACUUUAUGACAGGCGAAGCACCAGACCCCUCGGCACCUGCAAGCUCACGGCUCAGCCGGUCUCCAUGCACGUAAUGCCUACUGCACAUGUGCAUGUUCCUCAAUUAACUGACCCAAGGGUGGCCAGUGUGGGCAGCUAACACUUGAACAGGUGGCAAUGCCCGCCAUGUGCCUGACUCCUCAUCAGGGCCUCCUGC